rnacentral:rRNA from 1 species
UACGUAGGGUGCAAGCGUUGUCCGGAUUUAUUGGGCGUAAAGAGCUCGUAGGCGGUCUGUCGCGUCGGAUGUGAAAACCCAGGGCUCAACCCUGGGCCUGCAUUCGAUACGGGCAGACUAGAGUACGGCAGGGGAGACUGGAAUUCCUGGUGUAGCGGUGAAAUGCGCAGAUAUCAGGAGGAACACCGGUGGCGAAGGCGGGUCUCUGGGCCAACACUGACGCUCAGGCACGAAAGCGUGGGGAGCAAACAGG